rnacentral:rRNA from 1 species
GACAGAGGGUGCAAACGUUGCUCGGAAUCACUGGGCGUAAAGGGCGUGUAGGCGGAUAGAUAAGUCGGGCGUGAAAUCCCCAGGCUCAACCUGGGAACUGCACUCGAAACUGUUUAUCUUGAGUGCCGGAGAGGAAAGCGGAAUUCCUGGUGUAGAGGUGAAAUUCGUAGAUAUCAGGAGGAACACCAGUGGCGAAGGCGGCUCACUGGCCCGGUACUGACGCUGAGGUGCGAAAGCGUGGGGAGCAAACAGG